rnacentral:misc_RNA from 1 species
GAUGAAGAACGUAGCGAAAUGCGAUAAGUAAUGUGAAUUGCAGAAUUCAGUGAAUCAUCGAGUUUUUGAACGCAUAUUGCGCCCUCUGGUAUUCCGGGGGGCAUGCCUGUUCGAGCGUCAUUAAAUAACCCUCAAGCAUAGCUUGGUGUUGGGCUUUUUUACGUCCUUGACUGGGAUGGGCCUAAAAAUUAGUGGCGAUGGCUUUUUUACUUUCAAGCGUAGUAAAUCUCGUCUUGCUAAAGAGGAAAAAGAUUUUUUUUCUGCCAAAAAUUUUAACAUUUAAAGUUGACCUCGGAUCAGGUAGGAUUACCCGUUGAACUUAAGCAUAUCAAUAAGCGGAGGA